CGCGUAGGCGGUGCGGUAAGUCUCUGGUGAAAUCUCCAGGCUCAACCUGGAGCGGUCCAGGGAAACUGCCGUGCUGGAGUGUGGGAGAGGAGCGUGGAAUUCCCGGUGUAGCGGUGAAAUGCGUAGGUAUCGGGAGGAACACCUGUGGCGAAAGCGGCUCACUGGACCAUUACUGACGCUGAUGCACGAAAGCUAGGGGAGCAAACAGGAUUAGAUACCCUGGUAGUCCUAGCCCUAAACGAUGAUCGCUUGGUGUGACAGGUACCCAAUCCUGUCGUGCCGGAGCUAACGCGUUAAGCGAUCCGCCUAGGGAGUACGGUCGCAAGGCUGAA
rnacentral:rRNA from 1 species